UACGUAGGGUGCGAGCGUUAAUCGGAAUUACUGGGCGUAAAGCGUGCGCAGGCGGUUUUGUAAGACCGGGGUGAAAUCCCCGGGCUUAACCUGGGAACUGCGCUUGUGACUGCAAGACUCGAGUACGGCAGAGGGGGGUAGAAUUCCACGUGUAGCAGUGAAAUGCGUAGAGAUGUGGAGGAAUACCGAUGGCGAAGGCAGCCCCCUGGGUCGAUACUGACGCUCAUGCACGAAAGCGUGGGGAGCAAACAGG
rnacentral:rRNA from 1 species